rnacentral:rRNA from 1 species
AGUUAUAGUUUGUUUGAUGGUACGUGCUACUCGGAUAACCGUACUAAUUCUAGAGAUAAUACGUGUAACAAACCACGACUUCUGGGAGGGGCGCAUUUAUUAGAUAAAACGCUGACGCGGGCUCUGCUCGCUCAUCCGGUGAUUCAUGUUAACUCGACGGAUCGCACGGCCCCACAACGACGAAGCACACCAACCGGACU